rnacentral:rRNA from 1 species
UACGGGGGGGGCAAGCGUUGUUCGGAAUUACUGGGCGUAAAGGGCUCGUAGGCGGCCAACUAAGUCAUACGUGAAAUCCCUCGGCUUAACCGGGGAACUGCGUCUGACACUGGAUGGCUUGAGAUUGGGAGAGGGAUGCGGAAUUCCAGGUGUAGCGGCGAAAUGCGUAGAUAUCUGGAGGAACACCGGUGGCGAAGGCGGCAUCCUGGACCAACACUGACGCUGAGGAGCGAAAGCCAGGGGAGCAAACGGG